GACGAACGCUGGCGGCGUGCUUAACACAUGCAAGUCGAACGGAAAGGCCCUGCUUUUGUGGGGUGCUCGAGUGGCGAACGGGUGAGUAACACGUGAGUAACCUGCCCUUGACUUUGGGAUAACUUCAGGAAACUGGGGCUAAUACCGGAUAGGAGCUCCUGCUGCAUGGUGGGGGUUGGAAAGUUUCGGCGGUUGGGGAUGGACUCGCGGCUUAUCAGCUUGUUGGUGGGGUAGUGGCUUACCAAGGCUUUGACGGGCAGCCGGCCUGAGAGGGUGACCGGCGACAUGGGGACUGAGAGACGGCCCAGACUCCUACGGGAGGCAGCAGUGGGGAAUAUUGCACAAUGGGCGGAAGCCUGAGGCAGCAACGCCGCGUGCGGGAUGACGGCCUUCGGGUUGUAAACCGCUUUCGCCUGUGACGAAGCGUGAGUGACGGUAAUGGGUAAAGAAGCACCGGCUAACUACGUG
rnacentral:rRNA from 1 species